rnacentral:rRNA from 1 species
UUCAUUAAUCAGGAACGAAAGUUAGGGGAUCGAAGACGAUCAGAUACCGUCGUAGUCUUAACCAUAAACUAUGCCGACUAGGGAUCGGACGAUGUUAUAUUUUGACUCGUUCGGCACCUUACACGAAAGUAAAGUUUCUGGGUUCUGGGGGGAGUAUGGUCGCAAGGCUGAAACUUAAAGAAAUUGACGGAAGGGCACCACCAGGGGUGGAGCCUGCGGCUUAAUUUGACUCAACACGGGGAAACUCACCAGGUCCAGACACAAGUAGGAUUGACAGAUUGAGAGCUCUUUCUUGAUUUUGUGGGUGGUGGUGCAUGGCCGUUCUUAGUUGGUGGAGUGAUUUGUCUGCUUAAUUGCGAUAACGAACGAGACCUUAACCUGCUAAAUAGCCCGUAUUGCUUUGGCAGUACGCUGGCUUCUUAGAGGGACUAUCGGCUCAAGCCGAUGGAAGUUUGAGGCAAUAACAGGU